GAGGAUGUAGCUCAAGAGGUAGAGCACGUGCUUAGCAUGCAUGAGGUCCUGGGUUCAAUCCCCAGUACCACCU
rnacentral:tRNA from 1 species